CCUGUACUAGUAAAUAAACUGAUGGAGCAACAGAGGAGGAUAACAUUCGCCCCUUAGUGGAUUGGGGUCGAAAAUACGAUGCUGUGUUAUAGGCAAAUCCGUAACACGUGAAGGAGUAGUAUUAAUAGGUAAAGAAUGAUGAUUUCACACUUUCAAGAAAAACUUCUAGGGAUAAUUUAUUUACUACCCGUACCGUAAACCGACACAGGUGGGUAGGUAGAGAAUACUAAGACGCGCGAGAAAACUCUUGUUAAGGAACUCGGCAAAAUGACUCCGUAACUUCGGGAUAAGGAGGACUUUUUAUGAGAAAAGAAAGUCGCAGAGAAUAGGCCCAAGCGACUGUUUAUCAAAAACACAGGUCUCUGCAAAACCGUAAGGUGAAGUAUAGGGGCUGACGCCUGCCCGGUGCUGGAAGAUUAAGAGGAGAUGUUAG
rnacentral:rRNA from 2 species